AGUGAACGCUGGCGGUAGGCCUAACACAUGCAAGUCGAACGGCAGCACAGUAAGAGCUUGCUCUUACGGGUGGCGAGUGGCGGACGGGUGAGGAAUACAUCGGAAUCUACUUUUUCGUGGGGGAUAACGUAGGGAAACUUACGCUAAUACCGCAUACGACCUACGGGUGAAAGCAGGGGAUCUUCGGACCUUGCGCGAUUGAAUGAGCCGAUGUCGGAUUAGCUAGUUGGCGGGGUAAAGGCCCACCAAGGCGACGAUCCGUAGCUGGUCUGAGUGGAUGAACAGCCACACUGGAACUGAGACACGGUACAGACUCCUACAGGAGGAAGCAGUGGGGAAUAUUGGACAAUGGGCGCAAGCCUGAUCCAGCCAUACCGCGUGGGUGAAGAAGGCCUUCGGGUUGUAAAGCCCUUUUGUUGGGAAAGAAAAGCAGCAGGUUAAUACCCCGCUGUUCUGACGGUACCCAAAGAAUAAGCACCGGCUAACUUCGUG
rnacentral:rRNA from 1 species